rnacentral:rRNA from 1 species
AUGUGAUCGUCUCUCGCAUAUCAAUAAGCGGAGGAAAAGAAACUAACAAGGAUUCCCCUAGUAACGGCGAGUGAAGCGGGAAGAGCUCAAAUUUGAAAUCUUAAAGGGUUUCCCUUUACGAAUUGUAGUUUAAAGAAGUGUUUUCUGUUGAGGUUUUGGUAAAAGUUCUUUGGAAUAGGACAUCAUAGAGGGUGAGAAUCCCGUAUUUGACCUUUACUUUCAACUUUGUGAUACACUUUCAAAGAGUCGGAUUGUUUGGGAAUGCAGUCCAAAAUGGGUGGUAAAUUUCAUCUAAAGCUAAAUAUUGGCGAGAGACCGAUAGCGAACAAGUACCGUGAGGGAAAGAUGAAAAGAACUUUGAAAAGAGAGUUAAACAGUACGUGAAAUUGUCAAAAGGGAAGCGUUUGACACCAGUGUUGUUUUUCUGAAAAUCAAUUAAAGAACUGUUUAUGCUAAGUUGUUUAGACUUUAUCAGCUAUCUGUUUAGUUUUGAGCUUUUCUUUAAUGCACUUUUCAGUUAACAAGUCAACAUCAAUUUCUUUUGCUGUAAAAAAGCUUGAGGAAGGUGGCUUGAGAUUCGUCUUAAGUGUUUAUAGCCUCUUGCCUAUGCAGUCGGAGAGAUUGAGGUCUGCAGCGUAGAUCCUUCGGGGCUAAAUGCAUUUGUGCUAAGUUAUAGCAUUUUCAUAGACAACUUGUUGACUAUGAUUUGUCUUGUAGCUUACUCGCUUAUGUUAUUUUACCUACGCUUAGGAUGUUGAUAUGCAUGACUGAUAU